GAGUCCAUUGAAAAACAUUAAAAUCUCCAAACUUGAAUUUUCAAGUACAGUGAAAAAAUUGAUUUCUGCGUUUAUAGAUGAAGUGAAUUGAAGUGUCAUGAAAAGAUGAAAAAUGAAGAGAAUUCGAUAAGUCGAGUGCCAUUUUGAAGGUCACAUAUUGAGCUUUCCAAUGAGUAUGCAACAUGUAUGCCUCAUACCACUCACGGAUCGUUUAGGUCCAACUGAAAGCAGAAGUCUGUCGAAUCGUAUUCAAUGAAUACAUAUUUCAAUCAGUCCAGCUGAAGUACAUUGCGACGAACAUUUUGAGAGAUGAAAUAUUGAAAAGGAUGAAUUCUACAUCAUUUCUAAGCAAAAUUAUAAAAUGCCUGAAUCAGAGGAUUAUAAAGUGAAGAAGCAGGGCAGGAAAUGUUAUUUUUAUACGCUGUCGAAAAGAUAAAAAUGGACGGUUAUAAUCCUCUUAAUCCUUGUUCAAAAUUUCAGACAUUUCACGUAGAUAAAAUUGAGUAAAAAAAAGGUUUGAAAAAUCAUAAUUUCACAACCCCUUCUAUUGCUCCCUAAUUAGUGAAUAAAAAUGCA